rnacentral:rRNA from 1 species
CUUGAGAUGCUCCUCGACGAUGAAGCCCUUCGGGGUGGAUUAGUGGCGUAACGGGUGAGUAACACGUGGGCAAUCUGCCCUUCACUCUGGGACAAGCCCUGGAAACGGGGUCUAAUACCGGAUAACACCGGCCUCCGCAUGGAGGCUGGUUGAAAGCUCCGGCGGUGAAGGAUGAGCCCGCGGCCUAUCAGCUUGUUGGUGGGGUAAUGGCCCACCAAGGCGACGACGGGUAGCCGGCCUGAGAGGGCGACCGGCCACACUGGGACUGAGACACGGCCCAGACUCCUACGGGAGGCAGCAGUGGGGAAUAUUGCACAAUGGGCGAAAGCCUGAUGCAGCGACGCCGCGUGAGGGAUGACGGCCUUCGGGUUGUAAACCUCUUUCAGCAGGGAAGAAGCGAAAGUGACGGUACCUGCAGAAGAAGCGCCGGCUAACUACGUGCCAGCAGCCGCGGUAAUACGUAGGGCGCAAGCGUUGUCCGGAAUUAUUGGGCGUAAAGAGCUCGUAGGCGGCUUGUCACGUCGGGUGUGAAAGCCCGGGGCUUAACCCCGGGUCUGCAUCCGAUACGGGCAGGCUAGAGUGUGGUAGGGGAGAUCGGAAUUCCUGGUGUAGCGGUGAAAUGCGCAGAUAUCAGGAGGAACACCGGUGGCGAAGGCGGAUCUCUGGGCCAUUACUGACGCUGAGGAGCGAAAGCGUGGGGAGCGAACAGGAUUAGAUACCCUGGUAGUCCACGCCGUAAACGUUGGGAACUAGGUGUUGGCGACAUUCCACGUCGUCGGUGCCGCAGCUAACGCAUUAAGUUCCCCGCCUGGGGAGUACGGCCGCAAGGCUAAAACUCAAAGGAAUUGACGGGGGCCCGCACAAGCAGCGGAGCAUGUGGCUUAAUUCGACGCAACGCGAAGAACCUUACCAAGGCUUGACAUAUACCGGAAAGCAUUAGAGAUAGUGCCCCCCUUGUGGUCGGUAUACAGGUGGUGCAUGGCUGUCGUCAGCUCGUGUCGGGAAAUGUUGGGUUAAGUCCCGCAACGAGCGCAACCCUUGUCCUGUGUUGCCAGCAUGCCCUUCGGGGUGAUGGGGACUCACAGGAGACCGCCGGGGUCAACUCGGAGGAAGGUGGGGACGACGUCAAGUCAUCAUGCCCCUUAUGUCUUGGGCUGCACACGUGCUACAAUGGCCGGUACAAAGAGCUGCGAUGCCGCGAGGCGGAGCGAAUCUCAAAAAGCCGGUCUCAGUUCGGAUUGGGGUCUGCAACUCGACCCCAUGAAGUCGGAGUUGCUAGUAAUCGCAGAUCAGCAUUGCUGCGGUGAAUACGUUCCCGGGCCUUGUACACACCGCCCGUCACGUCACGAAAGUCGGUAACACCUGAAGCCGGUGGCCCAACCCCUUGUGGGAGGGAACUUGGAAUAGUGA